AAGUCGUAACAAGGUUUCCGUAGGUGAACCUGCGGAAGGAUCAUUAGAAAAUCAUGAACGUACCGUAUGUAUGUUAGUAUGUGCGGUACGUAUGAGAGCCGCAAGGCUCUCUGAAUAUUUUGUGAACUGUGUGGAUAGACAGAGGUGAUUUGUGUGCGUUGUAUGUGUGUAUAUUAUAGGGGGUUAAGAAGUGGAGAGGAUUAGACGCGAUACUGUCGUGGCUGAACCACACCGCUACACCAGCCCUAAUGUUACACACAUAGUACAAUGUCAUCAUACUAUCACCGAUUGUCUGUCUAUAUUUGAUAAUAUAUGUUAUGUAUUGAUGAAGUAUAUUAUUAAGGGAAGAGGAAACUCCAACCUUAAACAAUAAAUAUAUACAACUUUCAACAGUGGAUCUCUCGGCUCUU
rnacentral:misc_RNA from 1 species